rnacentral:rRNA from 1 species
GACGAACGCUGGCGGCGUGCUUAACACAUGCAAGUCGAACGGAAAGGCCCUGCUUUUGUGGGGUGCUCGAGUGGCGAACGGGUGAGUAACACGUGAGUAACCUGCCCUUGACUUUGGGAUAACUUCAGGAAACUGGGGCUAAUACCGGAUAGGAGCUCCUGCUGCAUGGUGGGGGUUGGAAAGUUUCGGCGGUUGGGGAUGGACUCGCGGCUUAUCAGCUUGUUGGUGGGGUAGUGGCUUACCAAGGCUUUGACGGGUAGCCGGCCUGAGAGGGUGACCGGCAACAUUGGGACUGAGAUACGGCCCAGACUCCUACGGGAGGAAGCAGUGGGGAAUAUUGCACAAUGGGCGGAAGCCUGAUGCAGCAACGCCGCGUGCGGGAUGACGGCCUUCGGGUUGUAAACCGCUUUCGCCUGUGACGAAGCGUGAGUGACGGUAAUGGGUAAAGAAGCACCGGCUAACUACGU